GAACAGAGGACAAGUCCUGCUGACCCAGAAGGGAUAUUUUGGCGGACCAAAAUUUUGUAUUCCACACACAAUUUUUCAGCUUCUACUAGCUAGGAACUGGGAUAUGCAAAGCAACUUGGUAGAUGUUGCCAGGUGGACUCUGCACCCACAGAACGUGUACUGGCCAUCUCAUGGGACAGGCACUGAUGGAGCUUGCUCAGGAACCAGAAAAGGUCUUCCUUCUGAGUCUACCCAAAGGGCACCAUCCAGCUUAAAGGAGAGGCAUGAUGGAAAGA